UACGAAGGGGGCGAGCGUUGUUCGGAUUUACUGGGCGUAAAGGGCGCGCAGGCGGCUAUCCAAGUCAGGCGUGAAAGCCCCGGGCUUAACCUGGGAGGUGCGUCUGGGACUGGGUGGCUAGAGUUCGGGAGAGGAGAGUGGAAUUCCCAGUGUAGAGGUGAAAUUCGUAGAUAUUGGGAAGAACACCGGUGGCGAAGGCGGCUUUCUGGACGACAACUGACGCUGAGACGCGAAAGCGUGGGGAGCGAACAGG
rnacentral:rRNA from 1 species